CCUGGCGGCACUAGCGCGGUGGUCCCACCUGACCCCAUGCCGAACUCAGAAGUGAAACGCCGUAGCGCCGAUGGUAGGCGUGUGCGGGCG
rnacentral:rRNA from 1 species